rnacentral:tRNA from 1 species
GAGGUUGUAGCUCAGCUGGAUAGAGCAUUAGAUUGCGGAUCUAAAGGUCGCACGUUCAAAUCGUGUCAGCCUCA